UGGGGAAUAUUGGACAAUGGGCGAACGCCUGAUCCAGCCAUGCCGCGUGUGUGAAGAAGGUCUUCGGAUUGUAAAGCACUUUAAGUUGGGAGGAAGGGCAGUAAGCGAAUACCUUGCUGUUUUGACGUUACCGACAGAAUAAGCACCGGCUAACUCUGUGCCAGCAGCCGCGGUAAUACAGAGGGUGCAAGCGUUAAUCGGAAUUACUGGGCGUAAAGCGCGCGUAGGUGGUUCGUUAAGUUGAAUGUGAAAGCCCCGGGCUCAACCUGGGAACUGCAUCCAAAGCUGGCGAGCUAGAGUAGGGCAGAGGGUGGUGGAAUUUCCUGUGUAGCGGUGAAAUGCGUAGAUAUAAGAAGGAACACCAGUGGCGAAGGCGACCACCUGGGCUCAUACUGACACUGAGGUGCGAAAGCGUGGGGAGCAAACAGG
rnacentral:rRNA from 1 species